AUGUUCAGAUUAUGGUACUUUUUGAAUUAAUCUUUGAAUCUUUUCCAUACUUCUAGAUAGAUUUCGAGGACUAUUUGAUUGAAAAUAUAGACCUCAUUUUAAAUAU
rnacentral:snoRNA from 1 species